rnacentral:rRNA from 1 species
GAGUUUGAUCCUGGCUCAGAUUGAACGCUGGCGGCAGGCCUAACACAUGCAAGUCGAGCGGAUGAUGGGAGCUUGCUCCCGGAUUCAGCGGCGGACGGGUGAGUAAUGCCUAGGAAUCUGCCUGGUAGUGGGGGACAACGUUUCGAAAGGAACGCUAAUACCGCAUACGUCCUACGGGAGAAAGCAGGGGACCUUCGGGCCUUGCGCUAUCAGAUGAGCCUAGGUCGGAUUAGCUAGUUAGUGGGGUAAAGGCCUACCAAGGCGACGAUCCGUAACUGGUCUGAGAGGAUGAUCAGUCACACUGGAACUGAGACACGGUCCAGACUCCUACGGGAGGCAGCAGUGGGGAAUAUUGGACAAUGGGCGAAAGCCUGAUCCAGCCAUGCCGCGUGUGUGAAGAAGGUCUUCGGAUUGUAAAGCACUUUAAGUUGGGAGGAAGGGCAGUAAGUUAAUACCUUGCUGUUUUGACGUUACCAACAGAAUAAGCACCGGCUAACUUCGUGCCAGCAGCCGCGGUAAUACGAAGGGUGCAAGCGUUAAUCGGAAUUACUGGGCGUAAAGCGCGCGUAGGUGGUUUGGUAAGAUGGAUGUGAAAUCCCCGGGCUCAACCUGGGAACUGCAUCCAUAACUGCCUGACUAGAGUACGGUAGAGGGUGGUGGAAUUUCCUGUGUAGCGGUGAAAUGCGUAGAUAUAGGAAGGAACACCAGUGGCGAAGGCGACCACCUGGACUGAUACUGACACUGA